AGAGUUUGAUCAUGGCUCAGAGUGAACGCUGGCGGCAGGCCUAAUACAUGCAAGUCGAACGGCAGCACAGCAGAGCUUGCUCUGUGGGUGGCGAGUGGCGGACGGGUGAGGAAUACAUGGGAAUCUGCCCAGUCGUGGGGGAUAACGUAUGGAAACGUACGCUAAUACCGCAUGCGCCCUAAGGGGGAAAGCCGGGGACCGCAAGGCCUGGCGCGAUUGGAUGAGCCCAUGUUCGAUUAGCUGGUUGGCGGGGUAAAGGCCCACCAAGGCGACGAUCGAUAGCUGGUCUGAGAGGAUGAUCAGCCACACUGGAACUGAGACACGGUCCAGACUCCUACGGGAGGCAGCAGUAGGGAAUAUUGGACAAUGGGCGCAAGCCUGAUCCAGCCAUGCCGCGUGAGUGAAGAAGGCCCUCGGGUUGUAAAGCUCUUUUGUUGGGGAAGAAAAGCAUCUGGUUAAUACCCGGGUGUUCUGACGGUACCCAAAGAAUAAGCACCGGCUAACUUCGUGCCAGCAGCCGCGGUAAUACGAAGGGUGCAAGCGUUACUCGGAAUUACUGGGCGUAAAGCGUGCGUAGGUGGUUUGUUAAGUCUGAUGUGAAAGCCCUGGGCUCAACCUGGGAAUGGCAUUGGAUACUGGCAGGCUAGAGUGCGGUAGAGGGUAGUGGAAUUCCCGGUGUAGCAGUGAAAUGCGUAGAGAUCGGGAGGAACAUCCGUGGCGAAGGCGACUACCUGGGCCAGCACUGACACUGAGGCACGAAAGCGUGGGGAGCAAACAGGAUUAGAUACCCCGGUAGU
rnacentral:rRNA from 1 species